rnacentral:lncRNA from 13 species
ACAAAAAAAAAAAAAAAGAAGAAAGAAAGAAAGAAAAAUAAAAAAUUAGCCAGGAGUGGUGGUGCAUGUCUGUAGUCCCAGUUACUUGGGAAGCUGAGGUAGGAGAAUCAAUCAUGUGAGCCCCGGAGGUGGAGGGUGCAGUGAGCUGUGAUCACAUCAUUGUAUUCCAGCCUAGAUGACAGAGCAAUAACCUGUCUCGGGAAAAAAAAAAAAAAAGUUAAUUUUUGUUAAAAAAUAGUUACAGAGGCUGGGCAUGCUGGCUCAUGCCUGUAAUCCCAGCACUUUGGGAGGCUGAGGUGGGUAGAUCAUGAGGUCAGGAGUUCAAGACCAGCCUGGCCAAGAUGGUGAAACCCCAUCUCUAUUAUUAGAAAAAAAUAAAGUUGCAGAAUUUUACAAAACUACUCUUUAAGAGGAACUUUAUCCUUCCCAUUUUACAGAUGCCUCUUGGAAUAAUCAAGAAGAUACUUCAGCACGUUUUCCACCUAUCCUUUGCUUUUCCCAUAGGAAGAGGAAUGAUUAAAACUGGAGUGACUCCUACAACAGCACAGAUGAUGCAACCCGGGCUCACUAGGCACAGCCUCCACCUCGAGGCUCAAUCACCAACGUGUCAAAGACCCAAAAUGUGCCUUUCAAGGUGCCACCUGUUGCGCCUAUUUCCCUGAUGAAGAGAGUCAUGUCACAGGCCCAGUGGUUCUCACCCUUGCCUGAUUAUAAAAUUCAACUGGGAAAGAUUAAAUAACACAAGAUUGCAUGGAUGUGAGGACGAUCUGGCUGUGACAUCUGUUACCCCAUGAAGAUUCCUGCACCCUUUUCUGGAGACUCUGAAAGCACUCAGCAUCUCAGUCUCUUGGGUAAGGCCU